rnacentral:rRNA from 1 species
CGCAUCUGUGCAUGCAGCAUAUCAAUAAGCGGAGGAAAAGAAACUAACAAGGAUUCCCCUAGUAACGGCGAGUGAAGCGGGAAGAGCUCAAAUUUGAAAUCUUAAAGGGUUUCCCUUUACGAAUUGUAGUUUAAAGAAGUGUCUUCUGUUGAGGUUUUGGUAAAAGUUCUUUGGAAUAGGACAUCAUAGAGGGUGAGAAUCCCAGUAUUUGACCUUUACUUUCAACUUUGUGAUACACUUUCAAAGAGUCGGAUUGUUUGGGAAUGCAGUCCAAAAUGGGUGGUAAAUUUCAUCUAAAGCUAAAUAUUGGCGAGAGACCGAUAGCGAACAAGUACCGUGAGGGAAAGAUGAAAAGAACUUUGAAAAGAGAGUUAAACAGUACGUGAAAUUGUCAAAAGGGAAGCGUUUGACACCAGUGUUGUUUUUCUGAAAAUCAAUUAAAGAGCUGUUUAUGCUAAGCUGUUUAGACUUUAUCAGCUAUCUGUUUAGUUUUAGGCUUUUCUUUAAUGCACUUUUCAGUUAACAAGUCAACAUCAAUUUCUUUUGCUGUAAAAAGGCUUGAGGAAGGUGGCUUGAGAUUCGUCUUAAGUGUUUAUAGCCUCUUGCCUAUGCAGUCGGAGAGAUUGAGGUCUGCAGCGUAGAUCCUUCGGGGCUAAAUGCAUUUGUGCUAAGUUAUAGCAUUUUAUAGACAACUUGUUGACUAUGAUUUGUCUUGUAGCUUACUCGCUUAUGUUAUUUUACCUACGCUUAGGAUGUUGAACGCGCACAGAGUCUC